rnacentral:rRNA from 1 species
UACGGAGGGUGCAAGCAUUAAUCGGAUUUAUUGGGCGUAAAGGGCGCGUAGGCGGAUUGGAAAGUCAGAUGUGAAAUCCUGGGGCUCAACCCCAGAACUGCAUUUGAAACUCCCAAUCUAGAGGGUAGGCGGAGAAAAUAGAAUUCCACAAGUAGCGGUGAAAUGCGUAGAUAUGUGGAAGAAUACCGGUGGCGAAGGCGGUUUUCUAGCUUAUUCCUGACGCUGAGGCGCGAAAGUAAGGGGAUCAAACAGG